rnacentral:rRNA from 1 species
AUUGAACGCUGGCGGCAUGCCUUACACAUGCAAGUCGAACGGCAGCACGGGUGCUUGCCCCUGGUGGCGAGUGGCGAACGGGUGAGUAAUACAUCGGAACAUGUCCUGUAGUGGGGGAUAGCCCGGCGGAAGCCGGAUUAAUACCGCAUACGAUCUACGGAUGAAAGCGGGGGACCUUCGGGCCUCGCGCUAUAGGGUUGGCCGAUGGCUGAUUAGCUAGUUGGUGGGGUAAAGGCCUACCAAGGCGACGAUCAGUAGCUGGUCUGAGAGGACGACCAGCCACACUGGGACUGAGACACGGCCCAGACUCCUACGGGAGGCAGCAGUGGGGAAUUUUGGACAAUGGGCGAAAGCCUGAUCCAGCAAUGCCGCGUGUGUGAAGAAGGCCUUCGGGUUGUAAAGCACUUUUGUCCGGAAAGAAAUCCUUGGCCCUAAUACGGUCGGGGGAUGACGGUACCGGAAGAAUAAGCACCGGCUAACUACGUG